rnacentral:rRNA from 1 species
UUCCGGUUGAUCCCGCCGGACCUGACUGCUAUCGGAUUGAUACUAAGCCAUGCGAGUCAUUGUAGCAAUACAAGGCAGACGGCUCAGUAACGCGUAGUCAACCUGCCCUAUGGACGGAAAUAACCUCGGGAAACUGAGUAUAAUGUCCGAUAGAACACUAUACCUGGAAUGGUUUGUGUUCCAAAUGAUUUAUCGCCAUAGGAUGGGACUGCGGCCUAUCAGUUUGUUGGUGAGGUAAUGGCCCACCAAGACUAUUACAGGUACGGGCUCUGAGAGGAGUGGCCCGGAGAUGGGUACUGAGACACGGACCCAGGCCCUAUGGGGCGCAGCAGGCGAGAAAACUUUGCAAUGUGCGAAAGCACGACAAGGUUAAUCCGAGUGGUUUGUGCUAAACGAACCUUUUGUCAGUCCUAGAAACACUAACGAAUAAGGGGUGGGCAAGUUCUGGUGUCAGCCGCCGCGGUAAAACCAGCACCUCAAGUGGUCAGGAUGAUUAUUGGGCCUAAAGCAUCCGUAGCCGGCUCUGUAAGUUUUCGGUUAAAUCUGUACGCUUAACGUACAGGCUGCCGGGAAUACUGCAGAGCUAGGGAGUGGGAGAGGUAGACGGUACUCGGUAGGAAGGGGUAAAUCCUUUGAUCUAUUGAUGACCACCUGUGGCGAAG